CUUAAGAUCUGAAAAACAAAACUGUUAUCACUAAAAACAAAUCUGUUAUCACUAGGAUACUGUCUAG
rnacentral:sRNA from 1 species